GUGCUGUUCUCUUCUAUCGUGGCGCUGU
rnacentral:sRNA from 1 species